rnacentral:rRNA from 1 species
UACAGAGGGUGCAAACGUUGUUCGGAAUUACUGGGCGUAAAGCGUGUGUAGGCUGUCAGAUAAGUCGGAUGUGAAAGCCCCGGGCUCAACCUGGGAAGUGCAUUGGAUACUGUCUGACUUGAGUACUGGAGAGGUUGGUGGAAUUCUCGGUGUAGAGGUGAAAUUCGUAGAUAUCGGGAAGAACAUCUGUGGCGAAGGCGGCCAACUGGACAGAUACUGACGCUGAGACACGAAAGCGUGGGGAGCAAACAGG